GAUGAACGCUGGCGGCGUGCCUAAUACAUGCAAGUCGAGCGAACAGACGAGGAGCUUGCUCCUCUGACGUUAGCGGCGGACGGGUGAGUAACACAUGGAUAACCUACCUAUAAGACUGGGAUAACUUCGGGAAACCGGAGCUAAUACCGGAUAAUAUAUUGAACCGCAUGGUUCAAUAGUGAAAGACGGUUUUGCUGUCACUUAUAGAUGGAUCCGCGCCGCAUUAGCUAGUUGGUAAGGUAACGGCUUACCAGGGCAACGAUGCGUAGCCGACCUGAGAGGGUGAUCGGCCACACUGGAACUGAGACACGGUCCAGACUCCUACGGGAGGCAGCAGUAGGGAAUCUUCCGCAAUGGGCGAAAGCCUGACGGAGCAACGCCGCGUGAGUGAUGAAGGUCUUCGGAUCGUAAAACUCUGUUAUUAGGGAAGAACAAAUGUGUAAGUAACUAUGCACGUCUUGACGGUACCUAAUCAGAAAGCCACGGCUAACUACGUG
rnacentral:rRNA from 1 species